rnacentral:rRNA from 1 species
AGAGAGAGACAUGCGCGCAUAUCAAUAAGCGGAGGAAAAGAAACUAACAAGGAUUCCCCUAGUAACGGCGAGUGAAGCGGGAAGAGCUCAAAUUUGAAAUCUUAAAGGGUUUCCCCUUACGAAUUGUAGUUUAAAGAAGUGUUUUCUGUUGAGGUUUUGGCUAAAAGUUCUUUGGAAUAGGACAUCAUAGAGGGUGAGAAUCCCGUAUUUGACCUUUACUUUCCAACUUUGUGAUACACUUUCAAAGAGUCGGAUUGUUUGGGAAUGCAGUCCAAAAUGGGUGGUAAAUUUCAUCUAAAGCUAAAUAUUGGCGAGAGACCGAUAGCGAACAAGUACCGUGAGGGAAAGAUGAAAAGAACUUUGAAAAGAGAGUUAAACAGUACGUGAAAUUGUCAAAAGGGAAGCGUUUGACACCAGUGUUGUUUUUCUGAAAAUCAAUUCAAAGAACUGUUUAUGCUAAGCUGUUUAGACUUUAUCAGCUAAUCUGUUUAGUUUUGAGCUUUUCUUUAAUGCACUUUUCAGUUAACAAGUCAACAUCAAUUUCUUUUGCUGUAAAAAAGCUUGAGGAAGGUGGCUUGAGAUUCGUCUUAAGUGUUUAUAGCCUCUUGCCUAUGCAGUCGGAGAGAUUGAGGUCUGCAGCGUAGAUCCUUCGGGGCUAAAUGCAUUUGUGCUAAGUUAUAGCAUUUUAUAGACAACUUGUUGACUAUGAUUUGUCUUGUAGCUUACUCGCUUAUGUUAUUUUACCUACGCUUAGGAUGUUGACGCAUGAGAUAUACGC